GUCUAUCUUUUUCCCCCCAAUAUUUCUCUGGUUUCUAUCAUCGUUAUUUUUAUAUAAAAAUAUAUAUCGAAUUUUAUUCAUAUUCAUGACACGGUCGAAGAUUUAAUGUUUUGAUUUAAUGUUGUUACUUUGCUGUUAGAGAACUACGUAUAUUUAAUCACCUAUGUCGAGUCGAUAUUGUUUUGACACCCGGGAGAUUCAUAUGAGUGUUCCACCCGUGAUCCGCCCGCCGAGCCCCCUGUCCCCGGGGUCCAAUGGCAUCUCGUUCCAGAUCCAGAUCGGGCUGAGCCGUGAGCCCGUUCUGUUGGACUCAGUCGACUUCAGCCUCGCUCAAGUCCGGGAAAUGGCAUGUUCCAUCGUGGACCAAAAGUUGCCUGAGUGUGGUUUCUAUGGCAUGUUUGACAAGAUCCUGCUGUUUCGCCAUGACCCGGGAUCAGAGAACAUCCUUCAACUGGUGAGAUGUGCUGCAGACAUCACAGAGGGGGACCUGGUGGAGGUAGUCCUGUCAGCCUCUGCCACAGUGGAGGAUUUCCAGAUCCGUCCCCAUUCCUUGUUUGUCCACUCGUACCGGGCCCCGGCCUUCUGUGACCACUGUGGAGAGAUGCUGUGGGGGCUUGUGAGACAGGGCCUCAAGUGUGAAGGUUGUGGUCUGAACUACCACAAGCGCUGUGCCUUUAAAAUCCCAAACAACUGCAGCGGCAUCCGCAAGCGAAGAUUGUCCAAUGUGUCUUUGACCGGCUUGACCAACCUGACCCCUACGCGGUCCAAUGAGCCUUCGCCUUUCACCUCUGAUGAAGCCUUACUGUCUCCUGUGAGUCCAGGCAUGGAGGUCAACUCUCUGACUGAUCUACCCUGCUACGUUCCGCAGCAGAAGUCCCAGUCGGAUGUCUUUCCCGGCAGAGAGAGAAGGUCCUCCUCGUACAUUGGCAGGCCCAUAGAGUUAGACAAAAUCCUCCUGUCCAAAGUCAAGGUGCCUCAUACCUUUGUCAUCCACUCCUACACGCGUCCCACUGUCUGCCAGCACUGCAAGAAGCUCCUCAAAGGCCUGUUCCGUCAAGGCCUGCAAUGCAAAGACUGCAAAUUCAACUGUCAUAAACGAUGUGCGCCCAAAGUGCCAAACAAUUGCCUUGGAGAAGUGUCCAAAAAUGGAGAACUUCUGAGCCCAGGGGCGGAGUCUGAAGCAGCGAUGGGGGAGGGUUGUGAUGAAAGUGACCGGAACAGUGGUCUCAUGGAUGACCUGGAAGAAGCCAUGGUGCCUGACUCUGGCCUGCUGGAGGCUGACCACGGGGAAAUGGGAGACCUCCACGAUCCGGAGGACGACUCCAAUAAGGCAAUAAGCCCGUCUACUAGCAACAAUAUCCCACUAAUGCGAGUGGUCCAGUCUGUCAAACAAACCAAGAGGAAAAACAGCAAUGUGAUGAAGGAAGGUUGGCUAGUACACUACACCAGUAAAGACACCCUGAGGAAAAGACACUACUGGAGGCUGGACAGCAAAUGCAUCACACUUUUCCAGAAUGACACAGGAAGCAAAUACUACAAGGAAAUCCCAUUGUCAGAGGUGUUGUCCUUGGACCCAGCAAAGACCUUUAACCUGCUUUCUGAGGGCUCCAAUGCCCACUGCUUUGAGAUUGCCACUGCCUCCCUGGUCUACUACGUGGGGGAGAACCUGCCGAGGCCUGAGGGCCCGGGGAGUGUGUUGGCCCACAGUAGUAUGCUGGUCAGCGGUGUCGGACCAGAGGUGGCCCGGAUGUGGGAGAUGGCCAUCCAGCACGCGCUCAUGCCUGCCAUCUCAAAAGGACUGUCGCACGGGUCACACCACAGCGGACACAAGGAAGUCUCCAACAGCAUUUCAGUGUCCAACUGCCAGAUUCAAGAGAAUGUGGAUAUCAGCUCAAUCUAUCAGAUAUUCCCAGAUGAGGUUCUUGGAUCGGGGCAAUUUGGAAUAGUUUAUGGAGGAAAGCACAGAAAAACCGGCCGAGAUGUAGCAAUUAAGAUCAUCGACAAGCUACGCUUCCCCACCAAGCAGGAAAGCCAGCUACGCAACGAGGUCGCCAUCCUUCAGAACCUGCACCACCCAGGGGUAGUGAACCUGGAGUGUAUGUUCGAGACGCCAGAGCGUGUCUUCGUUGUCAUGGAGAAGCUCCAUGGAGACAUGCUGGAGAUGAUCCUAUCCAGUGAAAAGGGGAGGCUGCCCGAACGCAUCACCAAGUUCCUGGUCUCGCAGAUUCUUCAGGCUCUUCGCCAUCUCCACUUCAAGAAUAUUGUCCACUGUGACCUGAAACCGGAGAACGUGUUAUUGGCAUCUGCUGAUGCUUUUCCUCAAGUGAAACUCUGCGACUUUGGCUUCGCCCGCAUCAUAGGAGAGAAGUCUUUUCGCCGUUCAGUGGUGGGCACUCCGGCAUACCUGGCCCCUGAGGUCUUAAGGAACAAGGGCUACAACCGCUCCCUGGACAUGUGGUCAGUGGGGGUGAUCAUAUACGUAAGCCUCAGCGGUACCUUCCCGUUCAACGAGGACGAAGACAUUCACGACCAGAUCCAGAACGCUGCCUUCAUGUACCCACCCAACCCCUGGAAAAAGGUGUCACGGGAAGCAAUUGACCUCAUUAAUAACCUGCUGCAAGUCAAGAUGAGGAAGCGCUACAGCGUGGACAAGUCUCUCAGCCAUCCCUGGCUACAGGUAUGCCCUCACUACAGUGCACUGUCCGUACUGCAUGUGGCACAAAUUAGUACAAUUUGUUAUUACUAUUUCUAUCAUUAUUAUUAGUAGCAUCAGUUAAGCUACCUGGGGUCUCAAAAUUUGAGAUUAAACAAAGAUUGUGAAAAGGUUGUGUACUUUAUAUAUCACAACUUGAGAAUAGUUAUUGUGCUUGGAAAAGUCUCUCACCUAUCGUUGACUGUCUGUCAGCUAUCUGUAGCUCCAGUAAGUCUUUUACCUAUCCGUACAUUCAUGUGAAAAAGUAAGUACACCCCCUGGAGGUUUUAAAUGUUUUACAUAUUUGGACAUAUGCAUAUGUAAUAUUUAUUUCAGUGGGAUUAUCAGAAAAAGUCAUCUAAUAUAACAAGUGUCUCUGAAAUGUUGUAAAUGUAAUCAUGUAUUCAUCAAAAAUCAACAUGAUCAUUGUCCUGUUGCUAAAUCCAUGUUCCGUUUCGCCUAACAAUGACAGAUGGUCUCUGUCUUUAGGAAUUCAUGGUUGAUUCAGGCAGCAAAGCAACCCCAAACCAUAAUGCCACCACCUUUAUCCUUGGUAUGAGGUUCUUUUGUUCAAAAGCAGUGUUUUGUUUUUCGCCUAAUAUGGUCGGCCAAACAAAUACACCUUUUACUCAUCUGUUCACAUUGUUCCAGUAGUUUUGAUCUUUAUUCAGGUGUUGUCUGACAAACGUGGGUUGUGUCUUGAUAUUCCUUUUUCAGGGAGGAGACUUCUUUCUUCCUGACCGCCUAUGUAAGCCAAAUUUGUGCAGUCUCUUUCUGACCAUUUUUUUUAUGCACUUAGACAUCGAUUGUGGCAAGAGAGGCCGGUAGAUUCAUUGAUGUUACUCAGGCAUUCUUAGAGACAUCUAUGAGCAUAUUCCAGUCAACUCUUGCGCUGAAUUUGGUGGGACGGCCUGUAGAUUGCCGGGGUCUGUUAUCUUCUCGAUUUGUAGAUGAUCUGUCAGAAGUGGAAUGGUGAAAAUGGUUUUGUAACGCCUCACAGAAUCAUGGGGAUAAAUAGUAUUUUUUGGGGGCCUCGGAUAGGCCUUGGCCCAGGCCAUGAUGUAUUACUACACACCCAUUUGGUUCAAACCAAACCAGGCCAAAUGUCUUACAUUUAUGAAAGGCUAGACCCUCCCAAGUAACUAAAUUUUGGUCCAAAUAAAAGUACUAACUUUUUCCAUGUACAGAAAUUGCAUUUUAUUUUAUUUUAACUGUAUAAACGGUUUCAAAGUGAACUUUUUUGUGCUAUUUGUUAAAUGGGGUUACCUUCAUCAGUGAACAUAAUUGGAGCUGAUUUAGCGCACAUAUCCAUGUGUCGAAAUAUGUACUUACUUUUUUCACAUGUCUACAGAUACAGUAAAUCUCUAACUGCUAUUCAUACCAACCUCCAUAGCGACAGUAGAUGUUUCUGACAUCGGCAGCUACGGACUACCAAAUGUGGCUUGACCUGCGCGGCCUGGAGUGUAAGAUGAAUGAACGCUACAUCACGCACGAGAGCGACGACGCCCGCUGGGA